GCACGUUUCCCAACUACUAAAGAGAGAACACAAGAUUUCUCUUUUCCUUACUGGAAGAUGUGGGGGUGGAGCCAUUUAUUUAUAAAGCGGUAGCGCUGUGCGGCUCACACGCAAGUUGGUGUCACCGCUAUAUACUGGCAGGCAGCGCUUACGGGCUUCAGCUAUCAGUGACCGGCGGAAACACUGGACGUUACAAUCUCCCCGGCGCCUUGCCAUCUGAAUGCUUUUCCUUCUAAACGGAACCGAAAAAACAUCUUCCAUUUUGGAGGAAAAAGUCACCGUCAAGCUGCCUACCACAGAGCCCAUACGUCCACCCGCUCUGGAUGCUACAGGGGUGCCCGCCUCCUUCCUGGCUGCCCGUACCCGCCGCGGGGCCCCACACGGCAUCCGCCGGGACAGCUGGCAGGGCGUGGGUGUAGCGCCAUGGUAACCUACAGCAAGCUGGAGCCCGCCAUGAGCAGCAGCCCCUUUGACACCGGCGCUCGGCUGCAGCACCACCGAUACAAGAUGUUCAGCUCGGGGCCCGAGUACCAGCUGGUUCUGAAGGCCGUGCACAAACUGAAGGAGAGCGGCUUCUACUGGGGUGCCGUCGAUGGCAAGGACGCCAACGGGCUCCUCAGUGCGGAACCUGCCGGCACCUUUCUGGUGCGGGACAGUUCGGACAACCGACACCUCUUCACGCUAAGCGUCAAGACUGCGUCGGGCACUAAGAACUUGCGCAUCCAAUUCGACGGCACCUCCUUCUUCCUGCAGACGGAACCCAUGGGGUCAUCGCCUGCCCCCAGCUUCGACUGCGUGCUCAAGCUGGUGCACCACUACAUGACCUCCGAGGCGGGACCUCGCAGCACCUACUUCAUCCACACGGGCAUGGAGAAGAUCCCACUGGAGCUGCUGCGGCCGCUCACCACCAGCAUGUCCUCUCUGCAGCACCUGUGCCGCAAGACUGUCAAUGGGCACCUGGAUGUCUCCAGCAAGAGGGAGCAGCUACCACAGUCUCUGCAGAACUUCCUGGAGGAUUAUGAUGCUCCCAUCUAAAGAUCUCGGUCCAUGGGCCCCAGGUCCAACCACAAAAUUCCGCUGACUGAAUGCUAACCCCCCCCCCCCCCNCACCCCCUCGAGGGAGGGAGGAGACUUGCAGAGCGUGGGAUGUGACUAGACAGGAGGCUCAGCUGGUGAGGAACCGUCCGGUUGGCCCCCAUUAGCCACGGGUGGGCAGGAGGUGCGAAGAACUCGUGCCGAGUCGAUGCCAGACGCAGGACGAGGUGCCGCCCACCCAGGUGAAAGGUCUCCCCCCCCCCGCAUCGCUGCAGCAACCUGGCCUACGUGUAGCAGACGCCGGGACGAUGUUGCUGGGGGAAAUUUCCGGAAUGCUGCUAUGGCUGCCUGUUCAGUUCUCGUCUGGUUGGGAUGCUUCUUCCCUUUCAUUUGCUCCUGUUGACUUCGCUCGGCACUCGAUGAGCCCUGGAGCCAGCAGCCUGUGAUGUCACACACAUUUCCACUGCUGCUUGCCAACCACAAUUGCCUCAUAUGUGGCCAGGAAAUGGGGCUGGAGGGGAGCUGGGAGGGGGUAGCCUGAACUCGCCACCACCAGCCCACCCCCCGACGGCCGAACCCCCCCACCCCGGAUUUAAGACCCGAGCCGUGGGUCUAGGUGUUUGCCUGAGGAACCACAGCCAGUCUUGGCCAUGAGACUGGAAGGAGGAGGACUUGGAAUGGGGCCUUUUUUCUGUGCAUUAGCCCCUUGUCUCUGUCCCCCCCCCUCCUCCCCCCCUUCCCCCCCUCCCUUCCCCCGAAUUUGGCUGGUGGGGCUGGCACUCCAGAAGGAGUGUAAGGAGAACCGCGGAAGGAGGAACAGAGAACAGAGAGUGGUCUUAUAACGGCGCAAAAAAGUGAACGAUCUGUGAAAAGAGGCCGGGGGUGGGGUCAGGCAACACAGGGGCGGGGGAGGGUGUCUGACGCCAUUGUUCCCCAGAGAGCCGUCAAGCCUCCCCCCCACUAGCUCCCCCCCCCAGCCCAUUCAGUAAUUUAGGGGUUUCGUUCUGUGACCUCGGCAGACCCGUUAUCUGCCAGAUUAGCCACACGUGACACAAUCGCGCCGCAUUCGGUUUCACAAGUAGGAUGCCUGAUGUGCUUGCUAAUGAAUGUAUCGAAAAGGGGAAAGCAGACCCCCCCCCCCCCUCAGAGGAAGAGCCACAGAUUCCGUACUUUGUAUUUUGUUUUUUUGUUCUUAAGACAAUGUUUACAUGUAUGAAAACAGAUGACGGAUGAUAUGUGUUAAUUUUCCAGUCUUUUAUAAGGAGUUCCUCGUAAUGGCAGUCCAGAUUCCUGGCAGGGCAAGCUUGAAGAUCUGAAAAACCAACAAAAAAGAUAACAAAAGCAAACAAAAAGGAAACUUUGCACAUAUUUAUAUUUAUAGACUGUUUCAGACAUUUCAAUAAUUUAUAUUAAAGAGCACUAUUUUUACAAAAUCA